rfam:Camelus ferus unplaced genomic scaffold scaffold595, whole genome shotgun sequence.
GUAAAGGCUCUUUUCAGAGCCAUGUACGUUGUCACAAGAAAAGCUG